rnacentral:lncRNA from 1 species
CUGGAGCCGACGGCCACCCGACCUCGGAGCCGCGUCUGGUGCAGGAGCCUCAGGGUCACCCCACAGGUCCUCAUGGAGCAAAGGAUAAAGCUGAGAGAAGGAAAUCCUCUCACGGGUCAUCGGGCAUCCUGAAGGAGCUGCUGAAGGAGUUGCGGAAGGCAGCACACGCGAUGGACGAGAAGGCGCUCCGGGAAGGAGGGGGUUGGGCAGUGCCCGACUCUGAUGAAGAAAUGGAGGCAACUCAAUCAACAGCGCGCUCCAAGCCCGGGGAAGGCCGCCGCGCCGGGACGGAUGACUCUUUCCCAGAGAGUCCAGGUACUGAGCAGUGCUGCAGGGCAGCAGAGGCAAGUCCUGGAAACGAGGGGCUGCAAGCUGUGCCCACGCUGGAGAGAAGGCAAAGAGGGGGAGAGAGUGUGGGGUGUCUCCUGGGGGGGCCUGACCCCGUCCCUCGGCUGGGGAGGGAGGAGGAAGAUGCUCCAGAGCCCUGAUCUCCAAUGGCUUCUACCGAAACCAGGGACACGUGGCAGCCCCAGGAUGUUCCCUCACCCAGAGAUGCUGACAAAGGGAGAGAGAACAUCUGCUGGCCACGUGGGACCUCCUGUGAGGUCACGCUGACGGACAGAACUGCUCCUCCAGGUCUGGAAGACACCAGAAACCUGUUUUCCGUGGACCCUAAAGACUUUCGGAGGCUUUGCACAGAAGGUGCCAUGGCCAUCUUGGGCUCGGUGCUGUUUGGGAUGAUCCUGUGCUGUGGGUUCUGCGUGUGGAAGCAGAGGAAAGAGUAAGUUGUUGUGGGGGGCAGGUGCCCAACAUCUUGGGGGGCUGCUCUGAGCCGUGAAGCUUGGAGAGGUCGGGGGUUCUGGGGUGCCGAGUUGGGUGGUGGCCAACGUCUGUUGGGUGAUGCCAUCGAUCCUUUGGCCAAGGUGAGCAGCCAAGAUGGCCGCCCUAGCAGCCAAGAUGGCCGCCCUAGCAGCCAAGAUGGCCGCCCUAGCAGCCAAGAUGGCCGCCCUAGCAGCCAAGAUGGCCGCCCUAGCAGCCAAGUCUGUCCCAUCACCAACGGUGGGGCUCUGGUCCCUGCAGCAGCAGCGUGUGUGU